UGGGUCCAGGAGAACUUCCGGGAGCAUGUGAUGGAGGAAACAUCAGUUUUCAUACUUUUUGUCCUGGGAUAGAAUAAUGGGGAUAGAUUCAGAGCAUUUUUAGAAAAUAAUUGGUUCAGGUUAUGUGAAUGAAGAAGGUAGGAAUGGCUUCCUUCAGAGUCCAUGAAGACUCCCACUUGGAUCCUAUACUAAGACAGCCCACUUGGGGAUGGAAGGUAACAGUGUCAUGGAGGCAAUCCUUGUUAUGUUGCUCAGAUUCCAAGUGGGAAGUGGGUUCUAAAGAGUUCUUGGGGAGCCUAAGAUUUAAACCUUUCUCUGGAUUUCUCAUUUUCCUAUCUGGGGAAAAAAAAAAAGUAAAGUUCCUUUUAGUAUUGGGAGAUAUGGUAUUUUCCCUUCCUGGCUCAUAUCACCCAAACUUUUUACAUGUAAGGUGUCACUUAACAAUUCAAAGUAAAUAUUCAUUUGUGCCUUAUAGAAUCAGCAUCAUUUUUUUAUAGCUACUCCUUCUAUUUAUUUAUUAGCCAAUUUGAUUUUACAAAUUCCAUUUAAAAAACAUUUAAGCAACAAUUAUAUGUUUAACUGGGAAAUGAAUGUGAACUAUUUGCAUUUUUGUUUUUUUUCCCGGGUUAUUUUUACCUUCUGAAUCCAAUUGUCCCUGUGCAAUAAGAGAACUGUUCGAUUCUGCAAACAUAUAUUGUAUCUAGGAUAUACUGCAACAUAUCUAACAUAUAUAGGACUGCUUGCCAUCUAGGGGAGGGGGUGGAGGGAGAGAAGGGAAAAAUCGGAACAGAAGCGAGUACAAAGGAUAAUGUUGUAAAAAAAUUACCCUGGCAUGGAUUCUGUUAAUAUAAAAUUAUUAUAAAAUAAAAUAAAACAUAUAAAAAAAGAAAUUUAAUUCAACAAUAAAAAAAAUAUUGUUUUUGCAUCCACAAUGAAAAAAAAAGAAAAAGAAAAAAAAAUUAUGUGUUUAAAGGAGUAUAUUAUGAUGAAAAAUAUAGAAAGAUCAAUAAGAUACAAUUGCUACUCUUCUACAUUAUACUUUUUUAAUAUCUUCAAACUGCACCAAGAUUUUUGGGGUGCUCUGUAGUGUUUAAAAUCUGCACAAACAAUAGUAAUGCGUAAAAAGUGCUUUUUAAAAACAUUUAGAUCAGAGGAAUAAUUUUUAUUCUUUCAUUUGCAGAGAGCAAGAAUCCUGCUGGACCAAGAUAAACUAUACUACUUCAGAUAUGUCUUUUGAUAAUUCCCUGUUCUCCAUUUCAAUGAAAAUGCCCCCAGAAGA